ensembl:lncRNA
AUUUUUGUCAUGCGAUUUUAAAGCUGGUCCUACAAGCGCAUCCAAGAAUAACAUGCAGCUUAUCUCAGAACUGUCCGUGAAAAUUAUUCUUGGAGCUAAGUUUAAUUGAGCUGCAUUUUAAAGAGGUGCAAUUUCACAAUUUGUGUAUAUUUUCUAAGUUCACUAUUUUGUCAUGUGUUGAGAAAAACAGAUUUAAAAAUUACAUGGUCUAAUAUUUACAUUUAGCAUAUAACUGCAACAUGCUUUUUUUUCGUUUUUUUGAAUGACUCGAAAGGACUUGAAAUUCAAAGUUUCAGACUUGUGACUUGACUCGGACUUUUACACCAGUGACUUGAGACUCGACUCUGACUUGCCUGACAUUACUUGAGACUUGACUUGAGACUUGAGGAUAAAGACUUGAGACUUACUUGAGACUUUCAAAACAAUGACUUGGUCCCACCUCUGGUAUGCACACGGGUGUUCACUGCUCGUAGACCCAAAUUACACCUUUCUUGGCUGCUACUUCGAAGCACAUCUGUCCUGCGUGCUGCACAACAACAUUGAAUAUUUAGUAUUUACUGCUGUUUACACUUAGCUAGAUUAAUGCGAUGGUGUUGUGUUUAGUAUGUUGCUUUGUUUAUUUUUUCUGCUUGUUUUCUAUUCUUCUCUCAACAGGUGAUCCAGGAGAUUUUUAUUUUUUUUCUCCCCCCCUUUCUCACUGUCCCUCUCCCCUUCUGUUUUUCCUUUCCUUCCUCUUUCUUUCUCCCUUUCCUAUCCCUCACUCAUGUCUGUCCCGUCUGUAACAUCUGAAAAUAAAAUAUAAUAAAUAAUAAAAACAAAGAUCGACCAAAUGGACCAAUACGGCAAUGCCACGAUGAUCCAUUUGGCAAAGUAAAUCCAUUGGGUAUCCUUGUUGGUCUUCAGACAACAAUUCUGAUGGCUAAAGAACCAAAUGGGACAGGCGAAAAAAAAAAAGAAAAAAAAAUAGAUAUAGGAGAUUUGUGACGUUUAGUGUGGCGUGUAUAGUUAGUGUGUUGUAUUGUCUUGUGUAGUUGUUCUGUUGUGUAGUCGUUGUUUUGUUUUGUGUGUCAGUGAGAGCACUAAUGAAUGUCA